AAGUCGUAACAAGGUUUCCGUAGGUGAACCUGCGGAAGGAUCAUUAACACCCGUGAACCUUCAGUGCGCUCGCAUUCUUAGAAAAGGUAGCAAUCCCUGGUAAAUCAUUGCCGAACAGUUUUGAUUCAGGGACUUCUGCGUAGACUGUGCUUGAGCGUGAGGCAAGUGGCCUGGCAUUCCUCUGCUUGUUGGUGUCUGAAAGUGUCACCAGCUCUGUACGAAUGGCGCAGUCACGAUCGCUAGAGGCCGACACGGCCGGCGACCGGGUCACUGGGCGCGAGCCCCCCUCGUCACCUUUGCAUGAAAACGGGCCUGCGCUUAAUUGUGCGGCCACCAAACUCGAACAACUGUUAACAAUGGAUAUCUUGGUUCUC
rnacentral:misc_RNA from 1 species